AGAAAUUCCAAAGACAAUUAUUCCUUUUCUCUUCAACCACUACAGGGUAGCAUGUCAGAGAGCAACAGAGAGAAGUAUCCCCCUUCCCUGUUCAAACAUGCUGCCAUUACUGCUUCUGCAGAGGGGGAGAACUUGGAUUAUUUCAAAGCUGAUCUAAGAUCAUUUAAUGGCAUGCCUUUGGGAAAAUUUGCCUUCCUCUAAGGUAUUGGUCAAGUUAGGCAAUGCCAGACUUAAUGGAUAACUGGUCUGAUCAUCAAUGGCAAAUCCAAUGGGAGUUUGCAACAGAAAGACUAAAUUUUCCCACACAGUGCAACUGCCAAGCCACAAGAAGAGUUGUGUACUUUACAAUCAAAGCACGAAACACAGGCAAUCCU